rnacentral:rRNA from 1 species
AGACGGGAGAGACUAACAGGAUUCCCCUAGUAACUGCGAGUGAAGCGGGAAAAGCUCAAAUUUAAAAUCUGGCAGUCUCUGGCUGUYCGAGUUGUAAUCUAGAGAAGUAAUGCCCGUGCUGGACCGUGUAUAAGUCUCCUGGGAUGGGGCGUCAUAGAGGGUGAGAAUCCCGUCUUUGACACGGACUACCAGUGCAUUGUGGUAUGCUCUCAAAGAGUCGAGUUGUUUGGGAAUGCAGCUCAAAAUGGGUGGUAAAUUCCAUCUAAAGCUAAAUAUUGGCGAGAGACCGAUAGCGAACAAGUACCGUGAGGGAAAGAUGAAAAGAACUUUGGAAAGAGAGUUAAACAGUACGUGAAAUUGCUGAAAGGGAAACGCUUGAAGUCAGUCACGUUGGCCGGGAAUCAGCCUUGCUUUUGCAUGGUGUACUUUCUGGUUGAUGGGUCAGCAUCAAUUUUGACYGCUGGAAAAAGGCCUGGGGAAUGUGGCAGCUUCGGCUGUGUUAUAGCCCCUAGUCACAUACAGUGGUUGGGAUUGAGGAACUCAGCACGCCGCAAGGCCGGGUUUCGACCACGUUCGUGCUUAGGAUGCUGGCAUAAUGGCUUUAAGYGACCCGUCUUGAAACACGGACCAAGGAGUCUAACAUGCCUGCGAGUAUUUGGGUGGAAAACCCAAGUGCGUAAUGAAAGUGAAAGUUGAGAUCCCUGUCGUGGGGAGCAUCGAUGCCCGGACCAGAACUUUUGGGACGGAUCCGCGGUGGAGCAUGUAUGUUGGGACCCGAAAGAUGGUGAACUAUGCCUGAAUAGGGUGAAGCCAGAGGAAACUCUGGUGGAGGCUCGUAGCGAUUCUGACGUGCAAAUCGAUCGUCAAAUUUGGGUAUAGGGGCGAAAGACUAAUCGACCAUCUAUGUCCCC